CAACCGACCAGGAUACUCGAUCGGGUGAGGUAGUAUGAUUUUUUUGUACGCUCGUCAAAAGAAUAGUGAGCAGCCGCAAGGAGAUAGGUGGCCUGGGAAGGAUAGAGCGAUAACGCCUCCGCCGCCGUCGCUGCUGCGGCCUCCCUGCUGGUCCUCCGCUACCGAUGGAGGGAGCGCACACCUCAUAAAGGGAAAGGGAGAGAGUACACCUUCGCUAAACCUCCGCUGCACCCGCGACGUUUCCAGGCCGCGUUCGAGCCGACGCUGUUGCCUGAAGAGGCUGCGGGGAGAGGUGUUAACCGCCAGGAGAGCGGCCGUUUACUCCUAACUUUAAGACGGUUCUUUAGAGUCUCGUCUUCUACAAACGUUCCCUGAACCCUCUGCUCCGUUACGACGCGUCCGCUCUUUUACCGUUAAACCUAAGCACCAAUGGUGGCCAGAGCUCAAUCUAAAUAAAGUUAACGUUGGUCCGUCUCACAACACUUAAACUUAAACCCACAUGUACUAGAAUGAUCGAAGAUUAAGAUGACUCGGUAUGCCUACUACCACACAAACGAGAGUGUGUAAAUAAGUUUCCUAGUAACACUACUUACUAUGGUUAAGAUCCAACGACCUUGAACGUAGGUUAGGAAGAUAAGGGUUGACCACUCAAAUAUCCAACGUCACAAACACCACCAGAGGAGGACUACCUCAAGUCAUAUACGGGAAGAACAAAUGGAUUUUUAGAGAAGAGAGGAUUCUAGAACAUCCUUAGAAAGAAAAAAGGAAUUCUUCGUACGAUGGUUACCUGCAGUCUACAAGGUCGUGGCUUUUCAACCACUGGUACGAACCCACAAAGUCUGAAGUAUAUUUUUCGUAAAUAAAAAAUGAAAGUCCCUAACGAGGUAGAACGUCAAAUAUUAUGCCGACCUGUUAAUGCUAAAGUGUAUAUAGACUUUUUGGUGUCGGGUAGACACAAGAUAUUUGCAACCACACCAGAAUACACGUGGUUCUUAAGACAGUAAUUGUAUUCCAGAAGUCUUUCCUCAUAUAGGUCACAAAGAAGAGGAAUGGACAGUGUACGGUGUCGACACGCUCCUACAGCAGCCGGCACAUAACCCACUACCACGCCAACAAGACGGCGGCCGAUGAGAGGUGUCCUCCUUCGUGCAUGCGUUCGUACAUUACCAGUAAAGAAAAACAUUAAUCGUACAUUACCAGUAACCCAUCGUGUGCUACUAGCUAGGUAUAUCCUACGAUAAUUAGACC
rnacentral:rRNA from 1 species